GAUGAGCAAAGCUGUGUCAUUUUCUUAGGGAAAUUCGCACAGAUGAUGAUUGCAUGCAAUACGCCUAAUGACCUUUGUGUUGUGAUUUUUUUUUAUUGAGGUAGUCAUUUAAAAUUUUUAUUUUAUUCAAAAUUAAUCAUUUUAUAUUUUAAAUGUGUACGUAAUUAUUUUAAUUUUUUACUUAAUAUAAUUUUUUUAAAAAGUGUUGAAUAAGAUGACUAGAUUAAUAGCUAUUUGGUGAGGCAAUAACUUAUCAAGGUGAUGAUCGGUAACUGGUCCGAGAGGAUGACUAACCACACUGAGACUGAGACAUGGCCCAGACUAUUAUGGGAGGUAGUAGUGGGGAAUUUUUUGCAAUGGGUGAAAGCUUGAUGGAGCAAUCUCGCGUGUAGGUAGAAGGCUUACAAGUCAUGAACUUUUCUUGGAGAAGAAGCAAUGACGAUAUUUGGGGAAUAAGCAUCAACUAACUUUGUGCCAAUAGUCGCGGUAAUGCAGAGUAUGCAAGUGUUAAUCAGAAUGAUUGGGCGUAAAGUAUUUGUAGAUGACUUUUUAAGUUUGUCGUUAAAUCCCAUGACUCAACCCUAGAUAGGAGGGGGAAACUAUCAAGCUGGGGUAUGGUAGUGGCAAAGCACUUUGUUGCCCCAUCAUUGACACUGAGAGACGAAAAUAGAGUUAAUUACACCAUACAUCCUCAAAUUAUAACCUUCAUU
rfam:Gossypium raimondii Chr09_contig_194, whole genome shotgun sequence.